rnacentral:lncRNA from 1 species
ACGUAAAGUAGAUGAGACACAGUAUUUAACGAGGUUCGGCUAUGCCUACGUCCCCGGAGAGCAGCAGUAGUAACUUUUCCACUAUGUAAAAUAAUAGGGCUAUAACUUUAGUAUUUACAAUAUAUGUGGCUCACUAAUUUUUCUCUCUUGGAGAAAUUUCUCUCCACUCUAUUUUUCUCUCUACUUACUCACCCUCUUUCUUCCUUCUCUUCCUUUCUUUCUUGCCUCAUUCAUUCUUCUCUUCAUUUUGGUGUGUAUUACAAGUGAAUGAGCAAGCCUAUUUAUAGGCUAAGGUUUUGGUAAAAUACAGGGAAUGGAAGGUUCCUGGAAGAUGCAAGGAAACUUCCUGAAUUGAUAAAUACAGGGAAGGAAAGUUCCUGGAAGAUGCAAGGAAACUUCCUGAAUUGAUAAAUACAGGGAAGGAAAGUUCCUGGAAGAUGCAAGGAAACUUCAUGAAUUGAUAAAUACAGGGAAGGGAAAGUUCCUGGAAGAUGCAAGGAAACUUCCUCUGUGGGCUCCACCUUCAAACUUUUACAACACUCCCCCUUGGAGACCACAAAUGAUAUGGAAUAUGCCUCGUUAAAAACCUUGCCAGUAAAAACCCAGUGGGACAAAAACUGGUCGAAGGGAAAAAGAGUACAUAAUCACGUGUAACAUAAAAUUCUGUGUAUAUUGACGCGCGUGCGACACUGCCUCGUUAAAACCUUGCCAGGAAAAACCCAGUGGGAUAAAAACCUAGACGAAGGAAAAAGAGUACAGUGUGUAAGGGUCUGUAUUGACAGCACGCUCCCCCUGAUGCUUGGCAAAAUAUCUUUAAGCCAUACUGUUGAUCAUCUGUCUGAAUAUCAUAGUUGACACUGUUGCUGUGAGUCAAUAGUGUAUGAAGGUCUUUAUUAAUACCAUGCUCCCCUUUGUGUAUAUCUCCCCCUGAAAAAUUUAGGACUAGCUUUUGUCCAGUAAGCGACCAUAAAAUUUUUCAUAGUAUACCCUAAACCCUUGAGCUACACUGCCUCGUUAACACCUUACCAGGAAAAACCCAAUGGGAUAAAAACCUGGAUAAAGGAAAAAAAGUACAGUGUGGAGCUGAGCUCUAUCUGGUCUAGUAUACUUCCGGAAAAACAUUUAAGGACCAACGGAUAAGACUCUCUUAGUAUAAGCAAGAAUCUCGUUGGUAUAAUGCUCGAUCGAGACAAAUAUUUCAUGAAUUCUGCAGAAGCUUUAAUGUGUUGCAAUCACAUUAUAAUCAAUGUACUCACUGAGGUAAUUUAUGCAUAUUAAUAUUGAGUACAAAUUUUGUGCUUCAAGCACAUGUCCUUUAGGGACUUGCUUUAUGCAAUGUCAAUCCUCUCAACGGAUUUUGUUUAAAAGGGAUUAAGCUUUAUGACACAUUAUAUAGCUUUAACCCAGCUAUUUAUACAUCUUUAGGGAAUCGCUUCUGGCGAUAUGCUCCGUGCAUUUAAUAACCCUUAAAGAUAAUAUGUUGGUCUCCGUAAUUGUGUAAUAAGGGGGGAACACAAUUGAAUCUGUAAAUAUGGAGAAAACCCAACAUUCCUUGUUUCUGCCAGAAACAGUGUGUCAUACAAAGUAGGUAUAUUCCCUUUUAUUCCGAACACCCAAGUAUAAAUUCAGUAUUAACAAAUUUUGGGGUUCGUAUUGUGGGUUUGUUCUUUCACGUUCAUUCUCAUUUAUAAUGGAAUUACCUCGUUCCAUUUUGGCUAAUGAUAUUGUCGACAUUUAAUAAUUGAACGUGGUUCCAAUCAACACAGCCCAUUGAUGAUUUGAGUAGCUACUCCAAAAUCAAAAAUUGUCAUUCAUCAAUUCAUGAUCUCACAAUUCUCAUGUGCAUGCGCAUGCAUCAAUUAUAAGCAUUCCUUUGCUUUUGGGUACCUAAGCCACUUCAGGGGGCUUUUAUUAUGUGAGAAUGUGGAUUAUAACCUCCAUCGGAGCGUUAUUUAGUAGUAGGGCGUGGAUCAUCUCCAUUUUGGGAGUUGGAACAUUGAGAACCCAUAUAUCUGUCAUGCUGCAGGCAUGCCACAGAUUAAUACAUACAUGUCAAUUAAUUUAUGGGACUUUAACCCAUAUUAUGGGACUUUAACCCAUAUAAUUUGCUACGCAUUAGGCGUGCAUAAUAUCAAUAUUGACAUGUCAAAGGAUUGUCCUUUUGGGACUUCAAUCCACAUCAUUUGCUACGCAACAGGCGUGCAUCAUAUUGAUCACUGCUAUACCCAUAUUUUGUUCUUAUGGGACUUUAAUCUGUGCAGUGUAUUAUCAAUGUAUCCAACUUGCAAUCUGUAAAAUUUGCGUUAAUAAUUCAUGGAUACAUACAAGCCAUUCUUUUGGAACGGACUUAUCUCCUCAUUUGGUUACCUUUCAAGAUAAAAUAUCAAAUAGGUAUAUAAGCAUAAAAUAACACAAGUAUUGCUUACAUCCUUAGGUGGGAGAAACUUUUCUCAAGUAUCAUUCAAGCUCAUAUCAGCCCAGUAAAUAUAAUGUAGCGCUUGAUGAUCUAGUUAUAUCCUGCAAGAGCAAAAAAUCACAACUCUUUUGCCUCUGUCAAAACAAAUAACCCUCAUAGUUAGGAUUACUUCAUGGAUUCAUUCUUCAGAUGUUCAUUCUAAAGAAAUAAAAUCUCUUAUGAACAGAGAGUUAUAAAAAGAGAAAAAAUGCAAAAAUAAUGUGAUAUUGAUUGCAAGAGAAGGUAAGCAAUCAGGGAAGGAAGCUGGUGGGAGCAGACAAUAAGCUCUCAUAUCUCCUAGUCUAGAAGGACUUCCGGAGAUUAGAGCAUAAGAUCGCCUUCACAGUUUCCUGAUGUAGUGGAAACGUGAUCAGGGAUAGUCUUGCUUCCUGAAUGGAUGAUCAGAGAUAGUCUUGCUUCUCAGGCAUAUUAAGUGCUCACUGAUAAGAAAAACAAGUAGAUAUCGCAUCACUAGGUAUGGAGAAAACUGGAUGUCUUCUGCAAAGAAAAUUUCGUUAGUAACACAUUUAUACACAAAUACAAUGAAUAGGUAGAACCGGUGAAUUUCAAAUUAACCAUAGGAAAAUUGCGAGAUUCUCGGGAUACUUUUGAAAAAGUAGUUCCGUGAAAUCCGUAAAGCAAGAUCGGCUUUGAAAAUAAUACUUUGAAAAACGCCGAAAGUGCCGACAGACAUUAUUAGAGGCCACGUGAAGUUUUUGGACUCUGGGAAAGAAAAAGAUAAUAUGGGGAUUCGAGAAGAUAUUGGGGUCCUGAAAAGUUGCCACAUUUUCGUCUAUAGAUAUUGCCUUUGCAAACUGCGUUCAACUCAACUUCCUUCAUUUUCCGAGCCUUUAGUUUUUCUAAGACUUUCUUCGAAACCUUCUUAAAAAAAAAUGGCUUCCUCUUCUUCCUGCCCAAAUUAUUUCAAUUUAAAUGAUGCUCCCACAACAACCAGUGACGCCCAAGUUUGGCGUCCAUCCUUUGUAUCCAAAAAUCGUCAUCUCACAGUUAAUGAUUCUGUGAUGAUGAAUGAUGCUACUGCUGUCAUAGUAGCUAGGAAUUUCAUUACUCCAAUGGAUGAAAUGUUGUUGACAGGGAGAUCAGAGGAAGAGGCUAUUGAUGACUCAAUGGCUUUUAGCAUUCAGAGUGCUGUUUCUGUUUCUAACAUGGCUGAUCGUUUGCGUGCCAGAGCAAACGAGGUUGAGAAUUUAACAACUGAAAAUUCGUCUCUCCAAAGAAUGCUUCAUGAGUCUCAACAGGAGGUUGAGAAACUUAAAGGAGAGAAUAAUGCCUUGUUGAAACUGGUGAGUUCGUACUCUGUUGAUACACUGAGAAGGCUAGACAUGCUGCAGGUCUCCAAUGAAAGAAUUUUGGGAGACCACGAGAAGCUCAUGGCUAAGCUUAAGAGGCGCCGUCCUCUUCCUUCAGAGGCUUCCAGAACAUAAUGUAAUUUUAUAGAUUUUACAGGGCCUGCACCUUCAUUGCAGGAAAAAAUCUAUCUGUUGUAUGUUCCUGUUAUAAUAAUUGCGCAUAUUUUUAAACUUGCACCUGUGGUUUUUACGUCUUUUCAAAAUGACGAUUUGGAACCUUGUGCUUUAUAGGUUCAAAUAACCACAUUGUCUCUCCCAAAUUUCAUAUUUUAUCGCAUGGUAGCCCGGAACUUUUGGCCUGGGCACAAACUCAGAAUUUAUUUGCCCUUUUCAAAUGGACAUGAAAUAUGAAUUGAGUAAAAGCCAUGAUAAUAUCGCAAUAUAGUAGUGAAGAGCAUUAACUACUAUAUACCCACAACUUCAAGUUCAGGAUCUCUCAUAUAUUUGGAUCCAUGGGCUUCCGGCCCAGAUAUAACAAAAUAUGUGGGGAGCCUCAAUUCAUUAUUUGAGGUUUAUAUUAAUAUUAUCCAUUUCGCAGUGUAUUCUUAACAACCGGAAUUCACAAAAUAUAUUUCUUCCUUGAGGUGUCGAUUAUAACAAAAUCGAACUUUAUUAAAUUCAUCAUCUUCUUAUGCCAAAGAAAUAGGUGGCAUACCACAAUUUGUAAUAAUACCUCAAGGGUUGUCCAUUUAAUUGUUGGAACUUCAGGUUCUCAACACUGUAAAUUUUGAACUUCAGGCCAAAGCCACAUAUUCUCAUGGUAUGGACAUUUUUACAAUUUUCUGUACAUAUUUCUGGACUUCAAGUCCUUACAUAAUUGUCCAUAUCUUGAGGAACUUCUGGCAUCUCAUUUAAUUGCUUAUCCAUGAGUUUAAGGAACUGCAGGUUCCCUUUUGUAUAUAGUGACGGUUUACCCAAAAUGGUUAAUAUUUAUGCAUACGUCACUAUUCAUGUGAAUAGUACUAUUCAUCAAGUCAUGAAUACGUAUCUAUUCAUCUGCCAGUACAGUUAUCAUACAUGUGUACGGCACCAUGAACCAAUAUGGUACUGUUACAUCAUUAAGGAACUCUAGGUCCUUAUUUACAUGUCAGGGAUCAAGGACCCUUAAGUCCGAUCACAUGUUUACAAAUACAGUACCGGAGAGACUGCCAGCUCUCAUAUUAAUAUCAUCAUCAAGGAUCUUCAAGUCCUGAUGUAAUUGUAUGAUGAGGAUCAAGGAACUUCUGGUCCUGAUCUGCAUACUGUAAAAACUCAUCAUACAGCACAUUUAAUCCAUAAAAUAAAUUGCUGGUAAAUAAAUUACUGGUAUGGACGAUAAACCCGCACCACACUUUAAAUAAAUGUAAAUGUGCGGUAAAUUAAAUUCAUAAAGUUAAGGUGCUUGUAUGGGUAUUAAUUCUGCUCCAUAUAUUUAAAUAAAAGUAAAGGCGUGGACGAUAAACCCGCACCACCCUUUUAAAUAAAUGUAAAUGUGCGGUAAAUUAAAUUCAUAAAUUAAAUUGCUUGCUGUAUGGACGUUAAUCCCGCACCAUACUUUAAAUAAAAUUAAAUGUGCGGUAAAGUAAAUUGUGCUUGUAUGGGCACUAAUUCUGCUCCAUACAUUUAAAUAAAAGUAAAGGCGUGGACGAUAAACCCGCACCACCCUUUUAAAUAAAUACUGUUGUAUGGGUAAUAAACCUACACCAUACAGUAAAUAAAAUAAAUGUGCAGUAAAGUAAAUUUCAUAAAGUAUAAAUAAUAGUGCAGCACAAAAAUUAUACCUGAGAGCUUCUCGUGCUGAUAACGUGUUAUAAAAAUAACCUGGAAUAUGUAUGAAUAUUGAGCUGCACGUAAAGUAGAUGAGACACAGUAUUUAACGAGGUUCGGCUAUGCCUACGUCCCCGGAGAGCAGCAGUAGUAACUUUUCCACUAUGUAAAAUAAUAGGGCUACAACUUUAGUGUUUACAAUAUAUGUGGCUCACUAAUUUUUCUCUCUUGGAGAAAUUUCUCUCCACUCUAUUUUUCUCUCUACUUACUCACCCUCUUUCUUCCUUCUCUUCCUUUCUUUCUU